CCAAGAUAUUUGCAGUGCACUAUUUCUUUCUGCAGGUAAACAAGCUGUAUCCUGCCACAGGCUUGUUGACUGUGUUUCUCAAGAUUCUAGAAGUCCUGACCUCACAGUGACCCAGACCGUGGUCAUCAGUGGGAACUUGCUGGUAACCAGUCCUCCGCUUGGGUUUCCUGUUGGUGUCCAGUGAAGUAAUGCUGAUGUUGUCUGACACCAGGGUUGAUGUGUGAUGACGGGAAAUAUCCAGAUUUCAUAAUGUCUUGACAAGGACCUGAGAAAGACAUCGCCAUGCACCUGACAUGGAUAUUAACGGCAGACAUGCUAGUACGUGUGCGGGCAAGUGAGGACGUGGGCCUGAACCCCAGCAUGGGCCGUCUCCUCGCCAGAAU